rnacentral:rRNA from 1 species
AGAUUUCCACUACUCAACAGCAUAGCAGUGGUACUAUUUCUUUUGAUGUUUGCUUGUGUACUCCAGAUUAUGGACUUGGUGGACCGGUUCAAGAUGACAAGGUUGCCAUCCUGGUAUAUUGUGAGCUCCAAUGAGGUGAUAUUCUUGAUUGGCUUAUCCCUAUUUGCAACCCAUGCAGAAGUAAAUUUGGGGAUCGUAUUGAACCAUAUGCCGAGGUACCAAUUGUUAGUGUUUCCGGAGGAUUUGCUGCUUGUUUCGAAGAAGCCCAGCGCGUACCUGCCGUUCCUGGAGACGAGCUUGUCGUUGACGGUGAGUGCUUGGCCGGCCAAGAUGGUCUCCGUUGUCGCGGCAGAACAUGCUGACAUGUACAGGAAGAGGAGCAAUGCGAUAUCUAAGAGGAGAUGCAUGAUGAACUGA